rnacentral:rRNA from 1 species
AUUGAACGCUGGCGGCAUGCUUUACACAUGCAAGUCGAACGGUAACAGGGAGCUUGCUCCGCUGACGAGUGGCGAACGGGUGAGUAAUAUAUCGGAACGUACCCAAGAGUGGGGGAUAACGUAGCGAAAGUUACGCUAAUACCGCAUACGAUCUAUGGAUGAAAGCAGGGGACCUUCGGGCCUUGUGCUCCUGGAGCGGCCGAUAUCUGAUUAGCUAGUUGGUGAGGUAAAGGCUCACCAAGGCGACGAUCAGUAGCUGGUCUGAGAGGACGACCAGCCACACUGGAACUGAGACACGGUCCAGACUCCGACGGGAGGCAGCAGUGGGGAAUUUUGGACAAUGGGCGCAAGCCUGAUCCAGCAAUGCCGCGGGAGUGAAGAAGGCCUUCGGGUUGUAAAGCUCUUUUGUCAGGGAAGAAACGGCUGUGGCUAAGAUCCACGGCUAAUGACGGUACCUGAAGAAUAAGCACCGGCUAACUACGU